rnacentral:rRNA from 1 species
AUUCCAGUUUAUCCUGCUGGCGGCUACGGCUAUCUGGUUUGUACUUAGACAUGCAAGUCUCUCGAGAGAGGGCGAACUGCUCAGUAACACGUAGCUAACUUGCCUUAAGGCCAGGGAUAACCUCGGGAAACUGAGGAUAAUACCUGAUAGAAGAAAUUUACUGGAAUGUGAUUUCUUUGAAACAUCAGGCCUUAAGAUAGGGCUGCGGCUGAUUAGGUUGUUGGCGGGGUAAUGGCCCACCAAGCCAAUGAUCAGUAAGGGCUCUUAGCGGAGAGGCCCUGAGAAGGAAUCUGAGACACUAUUCCUAGCCUUACGGGGUGCAGCAGUUAAGAAUCUUUUGCAAUGCGCGCAAGCGUGACAGAGCGAGCCAGAGUGAUUCUCAAUUUUGAGAAUCUUUUGCCAAAUGUAAAUAGUUUGGCGAAUAAGGACCGGGAAAGACUGGUGCCAGCCGCCGCGGUAAUCCCAGCGGUUCAAGUCGUAGCCACAAUUAUUGGGUCUAAAACAUCUGUAGCUUGCUUUGCAAGUCUCUUGUGAAAUCCUAUAUCUUAAAUAUAGGGCGUGCAGGAGAUACUGUAUUGCUAGAGACUGGGAGGCGUAAGGAGUACAAAUUGGGUAGCGGUAAAAUGCGUUGAUCCUAUUUGGACUAACGAUAGCGAAGGCACCUUACGAGAACAGUUCUGACAGUGAGAGAUGAAGGCUAGGGUCGCGAAAGGGAUUAGAUACCCCUGUAGUCCUAGCAGUAAACACUGCACACUAAACAUCGGUAUCUCCUCGAGAGACAUCGGUGCUGAAGGGAAGCCGUAGAGUGUGCUACCUGGGAAGUAUAGUCGCAAGACCGAAACUUAAAGGAAUUGGCGGGGGGGCACUACAACGGGUGACGCGUGCGGUUCAAUUAGAUUCU